CCAAAAAAAAAAAAAAAAAAAAAAAAAAAAAGAGAGUCUAUGUUGAUGUUCUUCCUAGAUUCUCCUCUUUUGGCUCUAAUUCUAACUCCCACUUCUGACCUCUUUACAUCAGGGCAUGUUGUUAGCCUUUUCACAUCAUUACUAGGUGAGCAACAAAGAAGAAAGUUUCUGGAAAAACUAGCUUCUGUAAGACAACCAGAAAGUGUUGACAAUCAUUUCUUGGUCUAAGCAUUCUUUAGCUCUUUUGAAAAAUGACCUCAGCCUAUCUGUGGGCUGGAUCUCCCUGGUAUAGAUCACAGUGUCCUAUAGCCCUUUCUGCUUGGGUUUGAAUCUAAGCCUGAAAAUUUCUGCCUUAGUCGCUUCCCUCAUCUCGAGAAAUGAAGUGGAUUUCUGAAGUUGCUGCCUCUGGUAUGUCUCAGCUUUCUCCUUUACCUUUUCAGCAGUUCGCAUUCUUUUACUGAAAAUAACUGUUUUUAUAUUGAAAUUAGUGGUGUAAUGUUUUUAUCCUGAUUACACUCUGGAUGAUUUUGAUGAGGUAAACAUGUGGGAAGAAAUCCACUUCUAGUCACCAUGGGAAAUGCAGUGGAAUCCAACCAAAAAGGUUGAGUGAGAUGUCCUUUGUAAGAAUUACCUUGUCAAAGAGCACCUGCCUGAAGUAGCUGUUCUGAGAUGUAGACUACGUGUUAUAUUGCCAAUUAGCUCUGGGCUGGAAGUGAGUUGCCGAACUGGAUUACUGCAGCCUGGAGAUGUUCUCAGGGUAACAGUGCUAAGCAGUUUCUAUUAGCCACAGGGAAUAAAAGAGGCGGUACUCUGUACUGUGGGGAGCUGUUAGCAUGCUUGCAUAUUGUGUUUGGGUCCUUGAAUCAUAUGUCUAAAAAACACCUGACUUUUUAUGAAUAUGCGAUAUUUGAUACUCUAUCAUAAACCGCUAGAUGAUUUUUGUCUAGUUAUUCCCUAAUGUGUGUUCUGAGCAUGGUUAAGGUAGGCCAUUCAAGGCUGUAAUGCUUGAUAGUUUGGGUGUUAAACACAUAGUGACUUGGGAUGUUUCCACUGAUGGUGGGUUUAUUAGGGACAUACAGAAUCAUAGCUAACGGGACAGGUGCCUUUCUGUGUGUGGGUAUGGUUGUAGCACCCCUUUAAAGAAAGCUUGUCUGGUUCUCUUUUGAUAUGUGUGUCUCAUUUUAUCAGUGUCAUAAGGCUGGGAGACAGUAGUCUCAUUUGCCUUGUGACAAGAAGGGUUGCUAGGAAAUGGUUGAGGGGGACGUGGACUGAGAAUCCAGAGAGCUGCCGCAGAAGCUGCUGGGUGCAAGCCCCACUUCCCUGGUAGGAGUCAGUGGUGUUCCUGCUGUGGCAGAGGUUUGGGACGGGAAGAGAGGUGUAGAGGGACCCAGACUAUCAAGUCUCAAAGGUAGAAUGAAAACUUCUAUAGGAAGUGUUUGUGACGGACAUUGGUUGGCAGAGUGACACUUAUCAGCAGAGUGACCUUUAUCGGUAGAGCUCUCAGUAUGAAGUAGGUGAACUUAACACAGUGGAUGUCAUAGGAAGGGCUCGAGAAGAAGAGUCUGGACAAAUCAUGUCUCAGAGUAUCUCCUGGGUCUGAAUUUUUUUCUAGAAGUGUUCCUUAAUGGAACUUUCAGGUGGUCUGGAAGGGGACAUGCUGCUCUUUGAAAAGCAUAACGGAGACAAUUAUCAAUCAAAGUGUUGUGGCCAGCAGCAGAUGGCUUUAGGCCAGAUUUCUUCAACAUUUUCAGGUGAGGAUGCUAAAUGCAUAGAUGGAAAGCUUAUGAUCCCUGGUUUUAAGAGGGAUGACCACACAGGUUCUGACGAGGCUGGGAGGCACCCACAGUGAACCAUUUGUCUUCCCUUUUCUGCGGGACUCCAGGCUUCCUUCCCCGCGUACACACUUUCAUUCUCUCGGCUGAGGUGUUUUCGGGUAUUUCUCAUCUCCCAGUGGCUCCCAGAGUCAGUCCACUGCUCACCCACUCAGGAAGAGUCAUGCACACUGGCACGUGCAUGAAGAGCGUGAGCACAGAAGACUGGGGUGCAAGCACCAGUCCUAAGAUGUUGGCUCAAGUUUAUAUGAUGCCAGUCCAAGCUCGGAGACACCAGCACCAACAUGGAGGGGUGCGAGCACGGAGGCAUUAUGAUCAGUUGGCUGAUUAUGGCGGUGCCCAUUAUAUAGAAAGCAAGGCAGUGUGGCCCUGACUGACUUGAGAGCCCUCCUGGGAAUUUACACCACUGGCAUAGGUGAAGCGGAAGAUCUGGCUCUAGGGGACCGUUUGGAAUACUCCAUGGACACACAGCCCACUGCCCACUUGGAAAGCUGCCAGGGAGAAGCUUGAAACCUGUCAGGCAGAGCCAACAAGGACACAGUGUCCUGCCACAGCAGGAAGGAGCCUGGAGAACACAGAGGACAGUUAGUACCACUUGGACAUCUCUGUCCUCUCCGAGUGUGGAAGUUGGUCCUUGCAGAGAAAGAAGCCUGACUAAAGUAAGGAUGUACCCUCACACUUUGGCAACAUAAUUGGCCUAUCACUGAAGAUGAGGACUUUGUCUUGAGCCUUGUGGCUCUGGCUGGGGACCAUCUAUUAACAUCAGACCCUCUUCUCACAGGGUCAGAACAAAGACAUAAGGAAGCCACUGCAAAAGAGGUGGGGGUGAGGGUGGACCGGGUUCAUGCUUAUAUCCCUGGAAGACAUGUUUUGAGGAAUGAAGAGACCAGAUGUGAAAGCCAGAAGGGACAUAUAUUGUAUCUUUGUCUGUGUUAAUUCAGUGCUUUCUGGCACACCGUGACUGCAUUUUGCUCCUACUCCUGGUGAAUGACAUGGAUACAGCUCACUAGUGGGUUUUGAAUGUGAAAUUAGUAAAAGUGACUGCUUAUGCCCAAACAGCGCCCUGUGAGCCUUGUGGCCUAGAGAUGGCAACGUGAGCCCCAGUGUCCACUGUAGUACUGUCAGGCAUAAAGUGAGACAGGUCCCUUCCAGGGCAGACUGUAUCAAGGCACCUCGAAGUAUCCCCUCUGUUACUUUCAGUUUCAAUAUGACAGUGCAAAUUGUCCAUACCCGCAGGCAUUUCUGUUUAUCACUUAAGCAUGAACUCUGUGACCCAAAACUGAACUCUGUGACCCAAAACUGAACAAGCUCAUGAAUAUAAUGUAUUCCUUGACUGAGCAUGCUUGGGCAUGUAGUGAACUCCUUUACUGAGCGUGCUCAGAAGUGUAGUGAACAUUUUCACUGAGGAUGCUCAGCAGUGUGGUGUCCUCCUUUGCAGACCAUAAUCAGGAGGGACCUACUCCUCUAGGAAUAUGUCUAAAGCUCCAGAAUAGAGUCCCCUUGCUUUCUCAGAGAGGGUUAUUGCUUUUGAGAUGUCACUGUGUUCUUGCCCACUGCAAGUGGCUGCUCUCUCUCCUCUGUCUUAACUCUGCUUAGUUUGGCUUUGCAGUCACCAAUAUGAGAGCUCUUGGUGUCUAAUCCAGGGCUCUUGUAAGCUACCAGAGUAGCCACAAUGGCAGCAGCAGCAACCAUGACCUUUACAUUUGUUCAGAAUAUGAUCCCAAGUGUAACCUAACCCGGCUGUGGCUCCUUCAGAGCAAAAAAGAGAGAGCUGUCCCACCUGGAGGAUCUCAAGUUCCUCAUUUCACGUUCACAGUGAUCUGGGACAGGUUGCAGGAACAGUUGAACCUCCUCAGAUGGUGAGCACCAUACAGCCCCUUCUGGCUCUGCUGGAACAUUGUCUUAAUCUGCUCAGAAAGAUUUUCUGGAACAUUUGUGAGGGAAAAGCGGCCUGGGUGACCUUUUUAUACUGUGAAAAACAAACAGGAUCAAAGGGUGGCGUGUGUAACAGUCAGCCUCCCCAAAUGUGGUAACUAACUCCUUAAGGGAUGUGUCCUUUGAGCCCCAGACCUUAGAAGGCUUAAUGGAAAACCAGCCCUUGGAGGAGAAAAUUGUUCUGUCUCAUAGGUCCCUGCUGGGCUCCUGGACUGAGUUCCAGAGCUCCAGAAAAUCACACAUUAGCUUCUUCAAUGAGAAAGCUUGGAUGGCUCUCUAUGCCAUCACUGCCAUGGCUUAUCAGUGUAGGCCUCUGGGUCAAGGAACCCCUGGCUACAUAGUACAAGAUGUGGAUAAGCAGCUACGAAAGAGGAAGGACACUCUAGGUAAAUGAACAAGUUGGCGCAAAAACCCACAUUCCUCAGGCUAAGGUCUAUAGCCCCUUCAGAGAACAGCAAGUUCAUUUUUGCUGGUAUUCAGAAAUGAAAGGAAUGGUAGGUGCAGUUCUUACUCUUUCCCUUGUGACCUCCCCUGAGUAGUUAUGAGAAGGACCUGCUCAGGGGCCUCAGUCUUCAGGGGUGAGCUUGUCUGGUUGGCCCUGGGACUGUUCUGGCAAUAGGCUCUGGCAGCAUCCAGCCAGAAACAGUUCUACAGCAGCAGUCCUUGUGCGUGGGCUCUCUUCCCUCCUUUACUCAGCAUCUCCUACAUUGUCCAGCAGAGAUGUGGUGAAGACACUCCGAGUAAGCUUCCACACAGACCCGGCCUGUGACCCCACAAGGAACUGUGGCUAAAGACCUGACUCAGAAGUUACACAGUACCCUGACCAAGCUUGUUCUGUCUCUCUCAGCAUCUGUGAGUUUGUCCAGUUUCACCCUCUAUGAAGUGGCCAUCCACUAGGUCUUUUUCCUUCACCACAUCAAAGCAGAGACACAUGGAAGGGUCUCUGUUAGUGACUUUGGACACAGGUAGGACUUAGCACUGAGCUAGAUCAACUGAAUCGUAGCUCUUUUCCUGACUCCUCCUUCAGAACUUGUGAUCCCUUGCCAACCCCUCCCCCUCCCAUUCCACCCUCUGGUUGCAUCUUCUGUCUGCUUCCGGCUCAGCUUUCCCAGGUCCCCACAUAUGGGUGAUGCUGCAGGAUUGGUCCUUCUAAGGUGACAGAUAUCAAGUUGCAUUCCCCAUAAAGAGUUAGGAUUUUUUGUUUUAUUUGCGAAGGGCAUUCAAGAAGCGAAGACAAAAUGCAGAAGUGCGUCCACCUUGGCAGCUGUGCCUACAAGGCUUCCUGUGGACUCCACUGUCCUCUCCCUUCAUUGUAGCCUCUUAACUUUGGGAUUCCUGACUCCUACUUGGAGCUGACAGGCAGCAGCAUAGUGUUCUCAGGGUGUUAGCAGUUUGACUCCUCACCUGCUUCUAGCCCCUGCAUUUGUUGGUCUUGAAAGUUGUGAGUGCAACCUGAGUUUGACUCCUGGUGAUGUCCUAGGGGGAUAAGCCCAUGUUAUUUUCAUUUGGCUCUGUGGUUGUCAUAUUAUGGGUGACUCUAAGGAGGAUGGGUUUUCCAGGUGGGGUAUCAUAGGAUGUCAUGCUGAACUCAGUGUUGCCCACAAUACCGCUGUCUAAGUUAAAACCCACAGUACCAUAUGUGAGAAUGAUAUGCAAGGGCAGGUCAUCCAGAGGCAGCAGAGCAUGGAAGGCAAGCUGUGGCUUCUGCUACCCUUCAUCUUUUGUUUCUAGUCAUCCAGCAGCUGUUACUUCCCAAGCAAUGUAAAGGUGGAAAUGUCAGUUCAUUCCUACUCCUCUUUUUGAGGGAGGAGUACAAUGAGAGGUCCUGCAAGGCUUUUUGUCAAAACAGGGCUGCAUAGGCUUCACUGUCUGCUAACAGCCCUCCCUGGAACUUAAUAACUUAAUAUGAUGUAUGUUGCUGUGACUUCAUUAAACAUUCAAUGUUUUUUAAAAA